rnacentral:rRNA from 1 species
AGAUUGAAUGCUGGCGGCAUGCCUUACACAUGCAAGUCGAACGGCAGCACGGGGGCAAUCCUGGUGGCGAGUGGCGAACGGGUGAGUAAUAUAUCGGAACGUGCCCAGUCGUGGGGGAUAACGCAGCGAAAGCUGUGCUAAUACCGCAUACGAUCUAUGGAUGAAAGCGGGGGAUCGCAAGACCUCGCGCGAUUGGAGCGGCCGAUAUCAGAUUAGCUAGUUGGUGGGGUAAAAGCCUACCAAGGCGACGAUCUGUAGCUGGUCUGAGAGGACGACCAGCCACACUAGGACUGAGACGACGGUCAGACUCCGUACGGGAGGCAGCGAGGUGGGGUAAUUUGGGACAAGUGGGCGACGAA